UACAGAGGUGGCAAGCGUUGUUCGGAAUUACUGGGCGUAAAGGGCGCGUAGGCGGUUCGUUAAGUCCUGUGUGAAAUCCCCCGGCUCAACUGGGGAACUGCACAGGAAACUAGCGGGCUUGAGUUCGGGAGAGGGAAGCGGAAUUCCGGGUGUAGCGGUGAAAUGCGUAGAUAUCGGGAAGAACACCCGUGGCGAAGGCGACUUCCUGGCCUGUUCUUGACGCUGAGGCGCGAAAGCUAGGGGAGCAAACGGG
rnacentral:rRNA from 1 species